rnacentral:rRNA from 1 species
AUGAAGCCCUUGCUACUAGUUGUACUUGCUUGGUUGGUUAGUGGCGAACAGCAGGAAACCACUACUCGCCUACUACUACAAACAAAACGCUUGAUCCGAGCCGCCGCCGCCGCCGCUGCUCCUCCGUGUACCCGUUUGGUCGUGUCUAAUCUCCAUGCCGGAACCCCAAAAUCUGUGGAGAGCCACACACUUUCUCUAUACCUAUCACAACCUACCCCCGUUCAUGAACUUCUUCACCUCGUCGUACAGCACGAGUAUGGCGGCCGCGCCGGUGCUCCGGAACAUGUUCGACAGCGCGCCCCGGUAGAACGACUUGACCCCCUCCGCCUUGUAGAUCUUCCUCCAACAGUCGAGGGUGCCGCUGUACAUCUGCACCUCCAUCCCUGA